rnacentral:rRNA from 1 species
UGGGGAAUAUUGCGCAAUGGGGGGAACCCUGACGCAGCCAUGCCGCGUGAAUGAAGAAGGCCUUCGGGUUGUAAAGUUCUUUCGGUAUUGAGGAAGGUUGAUGUGUUAAUAGCACAUCAAAUUGACGUUAAAUACAGAAGAAGCACCGGCUAACUCCGUGCCAGCAGCCGCGGUAAUACGGAGGGUGCGAGCGUUAAUCGGAAUAACUGGGCGUAAAGGGCACGCAGGCGGUUAUUUAAGUGAGGUGUGAAAGCCCCGGGCUUAACCUGGGAAUUGCAUUUCAGACUGGGUAACUAGAGUACUUUAGGGAGGGGUAGAAUUCCACGUGUAGCGGUGAAAUGCGUAGAGAUGUGGAGGAAUACCGAAGGCGAAGGCAGCCCCUUGGGAAUGUACUGACGCUCAUGUGCGAAAGCGUGGGGAGCAAACAGGAUUAGAUACCCUGGUAGUCCACGCUGUAAACGCUGUCGAUUUGGGGGUUGGGGUUUAACUCUGGCGCCCGUAGCUNACGUGAUAAAUCGACCGCCUGGGGAGUACGGCCGCAAGGUUA